rnacentral:rRNA from 1 species
ACGAACGCUGGCGGCGCGCCUAACACAUGCAAGUCGAACGGAGCUUAGAGAGCUUGCUUUUUAAGCUUAGUGGCGAACGGGUGAGUAACGCGUGAGUAACCUGCCCUAGAGUGGGGGACAACAGUUGGAAACGACUGCUAAUACCGCAUAAGCCCACGGUACCGCAUGGUACUGAGGGAAAAGGAUUUAUUCGCUUUAGGAUGGACUCGCGUCCAAUUAGCUAGUUGGUGAGGUAACGGCCCACCAAGGCGACGAUUGGUAGCCGGACUGAGAGGUUGAACGGCCACAUUGGGACUGAGACACGGCCCAGACUCCUACGGGAGGCAGCAGUGGGGGAUAUUGCACAAUGGGGGAAACCCUGAUGCAGCGACGCCGCGUGGAGGAAGAAGGUUUUCGGAUUGUAAACUCCUGUCGUUAGGGACGAUAAUGACGGUACCUAACAAGAAAGCACCGGCUAACUACGUGCCAGCAGCCGCGGUAAAACGUAGGGUGCAAGCGUUGUCCGGAAUUACUGGGUGUAAAGGGAGCGCAGGCGGGAAGACAAGUUGGAAGUGAAAACCAUGGGCUCAACCCAUGAAUUGCUUUCAAAACUGUUUUUCUUGAGUAGUGCAGAGGUAGAUGGAAUUCCCGGUGUAGCGGUGGAAUGCGUAGAUAUCGAGAGGAACACCAGUGGCGAAGGCGGUCUACUGGGCACCAACUGACGCUGAGGCUCGAAAGCAUGGGUAGCAAACAGGAUUAGAUACCCUGGUAGUCCAUGCCGUAAACGAUGAUUACUAGGUGUUGGGGGAUUGACCCCCUCAGUGCCGCAGUUAACACAAUAAGUAAUCCACCUGGGGAGUACGACCGCAAGGUUGAAACUCAAAGGAAUUGACGGGGGCCCGCACAAGCAGUGGAGUAUGUGGUUUAAUUCGAAGCAACGCGAAGAACCUUACCAGGUCUUGACAUCCCUCUGACCGCUCUAGAGAUAGAGUUUUCCUUCGGGACAGAGGUGACAGGUGGUGCAUGGUUGUCGUCAGCUCGUGUCGUGAGAUGUUGGGUUAAGUCCCGCAACGAGCGCAACCCUUAUUGCCAGUUACUACGUUAAGAGGACUCUGGCGAGACUGCCGUUGACAAAACGGAGGAAGGUGGGGAUGACGUCAAAUCAUCAUGCCCUUUAUGACCUGGGCUACACACGUACUACAAUGGCGUUAAACAAAGAGAAGCAAGACCGCGAGGUGGAGCAAAACUCAAAAACAACGUCUCAGUUCAGAUUGCAGGCUGCAACUCGCCUGCAUGAAGUCGGAAUUGCUAGUAAUCGCGGAUCAGCAUGCCGCGGUGAAUACGUUCCCGGGCCUUGUACACACCGCCCGUCACACCAUGGGAGUGGGGUUCACCAGAAGACGUUUGCCCAACCGAAAGGAAGGCGGCGUCCACGGUGGGCUUCAUGACUGGGGUG